UCAUCCAUGUACUGUGGCAUGUAUACAUACGACAAUAUGUAUAGUAGCAGUACAUAUACUCUGGCCAAAUGCCAAUGAUCCUCUAGCAUGGUAAAAUCCCCUGAGUGCCGUGUAUAGCUAUCCUCUGAGCCAAAUUUGUCCAUUAGAAAAUGCUGGGAUAUCUCAUGGCUGGAUGUGAUCUCAUCCUGCACAACCCUACGCCUCAGCCCAAUUAGG
rnacentral:lncRNA from 1 species